AAGGCCAGACAAUAUCAAGAAAAAAGUCCAUAAUUUGCCAGUGGGGAAAAAAACAUAAGUGUCAGCCAAUUAAACAAUGUGAAACCCCUGAUGUCAUCAGUUACCAUGCAAAGGGAUUCUCUGUUUCAAGUCUUCAAUUCACGGAGGCCAUCAGAAAGGUAAUAUGGACACUUAACCACCACCAAGGCACAAUUUCUAUUUUACUUGAACUUUCUCCCUGUUGGAAUUCUAAUCAAUAAUUUAUAUUUCUAUUUUGAAAGUUUCUUCUUUAAAAAAAGAGUAUGUUUUUAAAAAUAUAUUUAUUUUUUGAAGUAAAUCUUAAAACAUACUACAGCGAAUGUGAACAAAAAUACAUCAGUAUAAAUGGAACAUUAAUUACUGUAUCUGCAGGCAGUGUUAGGACGUUUAGCAUGGUAGGUGCUUUUGGCUAAUGGAUAAUCAAUUUAACAUGGCAGGUCUGUUUUAUCAGUAAACUCAUGAAAACAGUACUGAAAAAACACAAACACAUGUAAAGUGAACCACUACCCUUUACAGUCCACUUUAACCAGAAGGACAGUAAAUGAGUGGGGUGGAAGGUACAGUACACAUACAAACAGGACUACUUCACACAAAUGCUUCAUGACUUCAUGGAAGUUUCCAUUUACUUUAAGCAACCACCCAACAAAAUAAAUUCCUCCAUCUUUAGGAACCAAUGAGAAAAUAAAGAAAUGGUGAUGGACCUGUUGUUAGGUAAAAGGAUUCCCAGCAGGGCAGUUACAGUUCUGCUUCACAACCUUUGUUUUGCCAAUAGCUAACAUCCUACACAUGAGAUAAAGGCCAAGAACAAACUCUUGUUUGAUUUAUUAUUAAAUUUGUGUGUUUUUAUUUUUUUUUUAAAACAAACAACUUUUUUUUUCUAAACACAGUUUAAGGUAUUCAGUGAUAACAAAAGGUAAAAAAUGGGAAACUAUACAUGAAAACAAUACUUGCAUUGAGUUUAAAGUUCAGUUUAAGGAUAAUGUUGAUCGAUUCCAGUUGCUUGCUGCGAAGUGCUACCCACUGCACCACAGAACAAACACUCGUAAAAGCUUUUUUUUCAGAGCUGAAUUUUAACAUAAAAAUGAAUGAUGUGACUACAUAAGAAACUAAAUAUGAAGCUCUCAGGGUGUAUAUAAACAAUAAAAGAUAAAAAAUAAAAAUAAUAAUGAUUUUAUUUCCAGAAUGGACUUUUUCCAGAAUGCAUUGCUGGGGCUGACAUAAACUGCCAUUGCUCAGCUCUCUGGUCAAUAGCACUAGCAGCAUUGGUAUGAGCAGACACACAAAUAGGAGUAUUUUUAAUCUUUGAACUGUAGUGUGAAAUGAUUAAGCCUUAAUCGAACUUCUCAAACUAGUCAGUUGACAUUUUUGGUGGUUCUUUGCCUGGCCAAAAUUCCUGCGGACAGCUGAACCAAAGUUGAAAAAGUCCCUAAUUUGCCUGCGGGAAAAAAACAUAAGUGUCAGCCAAUUGAACAAUGUGAAACCCCUGAUGUCAUCAGUUACCAUGCAAAGGGAUUCUCUGUUUCAAGUCUUCAAUUCAUAGAGGCCAUCAGAAAGGUAAUAUGGGCACUUAACCACCACCAAGGCACAAUUUCCAUUUUACUUAAACUUUGCUGAGCCAUGAUACAUUUUAAGCUGUCUCAUAGAUUUUAUUUUACUCCUUUACUGUGAAUCCUGCAGAUGACAAAUUUUAUGAUAAAUUGGAAAGAAAGGUGGAUGUUUAAUGCAUAAUUACUUAUGUUGUGGGAAUUCCCAAUGCAAAAUGUAAGAUCGGUCACAUCAGACCUUCUACAUAAAGAGAUAUCAAUACUUCCAUACUUUCUGUUUUUCUAAAGGAUUACUCACACCUCUUUUUAACAAAUUGGAAAGUUUUAAUAUUCGUGGAUGGAUUAAAGUGGGAAAGCCUGUAGUUAAAUCCCAUGUUUAACCAUCUUACAUGUUAAAGAUCCCAUUAAAAGCAUAAUUGCUGCAAUAGCUCAGGGCCGAGGCUAUGCUUAUGUAUAUUUACUUCUACAGUUAUCUAGUUGUUUAUAUGUUUGUCUUGAACAGAACAGCAUCUGCUUAAUUAUACUCUGAUGAGAUUUUGUCCACUUUUCUUACAAGUUAAGUUGCCACUGUCACCUGUAUAAAAUGUAAAAAAAAGUUAAAUAAGUAAUCUUAUGUUUAGAUAUCUGAAUACAAAGAUUUCCUUCAACAACAUCCAUCAGUGGCUUGCCCAGUUCCUCUAAGCUGAGUCCCUGAGCUAAGAGAGUACAGGCAGAGCAGCAGGUUUCACUUCUUUAUGUCAAACCUCACAUGUUUUGUUCUCAUACAGGGAACAAAAACAACCAGAAAGCCCCUGGCACUUGUUCAAACAUUGUGGCAAUAAAGCAAAUAUCAGCACAGACACAGAUAUACAGAGAGGUGGAAAAGAGAAACUGAAAGGGAAUGCGUGUGGCUGUGUGUGUGAGUGUGUGUGUGUUUGUCCAAUAUUUAACUGUUUUUGAGACACAGUGGGCAUGCGUUGCUUUUAAAUAAUCCUUCCGCAUGCCCAAUGCAUACACAUGCUUGUGAAUGUAGAAUAACUUCUACAAUUUUUGUUUGUUGUUGCUGUUGUUCAAAUGUUAUACUGCUAGUAACACUGGGAACACAAGUAUUAAUCUUCUCAAUCCUAUGAAUUUAUUUGAAACAGGUUCACCAUCUUAAGAUGGAAUGCAGGAAACAAUCAAUGACUGUUAAUAUCUCAAAAUUAAAAACAGGGAUCAAGAACAUAAAGAAACCCCCUGGCAUUCAUCCAACCACUGUGGUGGACAGGAGAGGCAGAGAUAUGAAGAGGAGUGAUGAGGAAGAGAAAGUAAAAGAGCGAGCGUAGAUUUGUGUGCGUGUGUGUGUGUGUGGGUGUGUGUGUGUGUGUAUGUGUGUGUAUGCAAAAUUUCUGGGUCUGCAAAAGAGCUUCAGAAGAGGUUGUGAUGCUUGGAUGAGUAUAUUUACACUGUGAUGCUAAUUUAUUCAGAUGCCUGUAAUACAGAUACCAGGGUGGUUGAUGUAGUGCUGAAUUGAGCAUUCUGUUCAAAUACUGGCAGCAAGCAUACAUGCGUCAGCAUGAGUGACAACAAUCAAUGCUGAAAAAAUAAACUUUGAUUUUAUCAUAUUAAUGUGAUGAAAUGUGA